AGCCGGUCUGCGGCUGUCGCUUCGUUCCCUGUUUAAACCGAGCCUACAGUGAUGGAGGGUUUGUGUUUUCUGAGCUGGGACCCCUGCUCUGUAGGAGUAGACUGCAGCCAGCCCGGGAGCCUCAGGCUCUGUGUUCGUGUCAGCUGGAGCAAAGACUAAACUGUAACCUCACAUUACACUUUUUGGAUUGAAUGUCGUUUUUGCUCGUGACGAGAUGAAGCGGUGUCAGCGAAUCACCUGAACCAGGUGAUUCAUUUCGGGAAGCAGUUGCUGCUUCAGGCGUCAUAUGUCACGUGAUUUGUUUUUUCACCCUGAAGCUUCGAAGCAGCUGUCACAGACAGAAGGUGUUCAUUUGUUCAUAUUUAAUGUCAUUUUCUUUGUAAAUACUGAGAAUAUAAUUUGUUGUAUUACUGACAUCUGUUGGUGGAAUUGUGUAUUGCACGGAGACGUGAUUAUACAGCGAGCGCGUGACUGAUUGACGCACGCUAUCGGAGUUAGUUUGGAUUUGAGCUUGAAAGAGACAAACGGAGGGAAUGAUACGGGCAGUAACAUCUAAAUGUUUGGGCAGAAGGCGCACACGGUAAGGUUGUGAAAACGAUCAGCUAGCACUCCACCCUCUGCUGCAAACAUCUUCACUUCUGGCUUCAUGAAACCGACGUGGCCUCAGACUGUGAGCUGCUCCAUCGCUGAGGUGACAGUAAAACCACACAGAAGGUCUUCAAGACAAAUUUCAACAUCUGCAAGUCACUGCGGUCACCAGGAUUCAGCAUGUGUUCUGCAGGCUGUCCUGUAACCAGAGGAUGAGGGGUCACCUUUGACAAAUGAAACCCCUCCCCCCCCCACGGCUUCCCAGGGUCAUGACCAACAUGGGCCGAGUCGCCUGGCUCACAUUUAUGUUGUGGGUAAAAGGCUUCAGAGACCAGCGGAUGAUGUCACAUCAAUCCCAGUCUGUGGUUUCUGCUCCGCCCGGAUCAGCUGGGUUUGUUUGUGGGAUGCUAACGGGGUCGUUACAGAGCGCCCUCUGCU